GAUGAAGAACGUAGUGAAAUGCGAUACUUGGUGUGAAUUGCAGAAUCCCGUGAACCAUCGAGUUUUUGAACGCAAGUUGCGCCCGAAGCCUUUUGGCCGAGGGCACGUCUGCCUGGGCGUCACGCAUCGCGUCGCCCCCCCACAAUUCUCUGUAAAGGGAACUCGUGUUUUGGGGGCGGAUAUUGGUCUCCCGUGCUCAUGGCGUGGUUGGCCGAAAUAGGAGUCCCUUCGAUGGACGCACGAACUAGUGGUGGUCGUAAAAACCCUCGUCUUUUGUUUCGUGCUGUUAGUCGCGAGGGAAACUCUAAGAAAACCCCAGCGUGUCGUCUUUUGACGGCGCUUCGACCGCGACCCCAGGUCAGGCGGGACUACCCGCUGAGUUUAAGCAUAUCAAUAAGCGGAGGA
rnacentral:misc_RNA from 1 species